rnacentral:rRNA from 1 species
UAGUACGAGAGGACCGGAGUGGACGCAUCACUGGUGUUCGGGUUGUCAUGCCAAUGGCACUGCCCGGUAGCUAAAUGCGGAAGAGAUAAGUGCUGAAAGCAUCUAAGCACGAAACUUGCCCCGAGAUGAGUUCUCCCUGAGACUUUAAGUCUCCUGAAGGAACGUUAAAGACGAUGACGUUGAUAGGCCGGGUGUGUAAGCGCAGCGAUGCGUUGAGCUAACCGAUACUAAUGAACCGUGAGGCUUAACCUUACAACGCCGAAGGUGUUU